AUUCCCCUAUAUAUCCCCUAUACACCCCAUUACCCACGUCAUGCAGCUGACGGCAGCCUGUCCGUGGAACCCCCAUAACCCCAUUACCCCCCAUAACCCAUACACCCCAUUUAACCCCAUUUACACCCCAUAACCCCAUAGACCCCAUGACAACCCAAUAACCCCAUAUACCCCAUUUACACCCCAUAAAACCCCAUAUAAUCCCCCUAUCAUCCCCAUCAUAUCCCCAUAUAUCCCCUAUUAUCCCCUAUCCCCAUUACCACGUAUGCGCUGACGGCAGCCUGUUCCGUGGACCCCCAUAACCCCAUACACCCCAUAUAUCCCCUAUAAUCCCCCAUAACCCCAUAUACCCCAUAACCCCAUAUAUCCCUAUAUCCCCAUAUAUCCCCCAUAUAUCCCCAUAUAUCCCCUGUAUACACCCCAUUACCACUAUGCGGCUGGACGGGCAGCCUGUCCUGGACCCCAUAACCCCACGUACCCCCCAUAAAACCCCAUACACCCCAUAACCCCAUACACCCCAUAAACCCCAUAUACCCAUACACCCCAGAACCCCCAUAUACCCCAUACACCCAUAACCCCAUAUAAUCCCCUAUAUCCCCAUAUAUUUCCCCAUAUAUCCCUAGAUUCCCCUGAUCCCCCAUUGACCACGUAUCGCUACUGGCAGCCUGUCCGUGGACCCAACCAUAACCCCAUACACCCAUAACCCCAUACUACCCCAUAACCGCCAUUACACCCCAUAACCCCAUCACCCCAUAACCCCAUACACCCCAUAAACCCCAUAUAUCCCCUGAUAUAUCCCAAUAGUCCCCCAUUACCACGUAUGCGCUGACGGCAGCCUGUCCGUGGACCCUGUCAUCCCGGUGGAUCUGAACUUCUGGAUUCCCGUUUCAUCCCCUCGAGGGCAGCGAAUCCCUGCAGCGGAACCUUGGGACGUGCCCGUCAACAAACUGCAGGAACUUGCAGCGGUCGGCCUGGGUCAAAGGAGCGCAGGGCGCGCCAGAACCACUGGAUCUAUGGGGAAUAAUAUAGGAUAUAUGGGGAUAUAGGUAUGGGAUAUAGGGUAUGGGAUAUAGGUUGGCGAUAUAGGAUAUGGGAUACUAGCGUAUGGGAAUAGGUGUAUAGGUUCGGCCUGCGCAAAGGGAGCGCAGGGCGCGCCAGAACCACUGGAUCUAUGGGGGAAUAUGGAUUAUAGGGAAAUAUAGGGUAUGGGAUAUAGGGUAUGGAUAAUAGGGUUAUGGGUAUAGGGUACUGGGAAUAGGGUAUGGGGUAUGGGAUAUAGGUUUAUGGGAUAUAGGAUAUAGGGUAUGGAUAUAGGAUAUAGGGUAUGGAUUAUAGGAUACUAGGGUAUGGGAAUAUAGGGUAUGGGAUAUAGGCAUAUAGGUCGCCUGGUCAAAGGAGCGCAGGGCGACGCCAGAACACUGGAUCUAUGGGGUAAUAAUAUAGGAUAUAUGGGAUAUAGGUAUGGGAUACUAGGGUAUGGGAUAUAGGUAUGGAUAUAGGGGAUAUGGGGAUAUAGGGUAUGGGAUAUAGGGUAUAGGUCAGCCUGGUCAAAGGAGCCAGGCACGCCAGAACCACGGAUUAUGGGAAAAGACAAAAAAUAAAGGAUAUAUGGGGGAUAUAGGAUAUGGGGA
rnacentral:lncRNA from 1 species